AGUGAACGCUGGCGGUAGGCCUAACACAUGCAAGUCGAACGGCAGCACAGGAGAGCUUGCUCUCUGGGUGGCGAGUGGCGGACGGGUGAGGAAUACAUCGGAAUCUACUCUGUCGUGGGGGAUAACGUAGGGAAACUUACGCUAAUACCGCAUACGACCUACGGGUGAAAGCAGGGGACCUUCGGGCCUUGCGCGAUUGAAUGAGCCGAUGUCGGAUUAGCUAGUUGGCGGGGUAAAGGCCCACCAAGGCGACGAUCCGUGGCUGGUCUGAGAGGAUGAUCAGCCACACUGGAACUGAGACACGGUCCAGACUCCUACGGGAGGCAGCAGUGGGGAAUAUUGGACAAUGGGCGCAAGCCUGAUCCAGCCAUACCGCGUGGGUGAAGAAGGCCUUCGGGUUGUAAAGCCCUUUUGUUGGGAAAGAGAUCCAGCUGGCUAAUACCCGGUUGGGAUGACGGUACCCAAAGAAUAAGCACCGGCUAACUUCGUGCCAGCCGCCGCAGUAA
rnacentral:rRNA from 1 species